UGGGGAAUUUUGGACAAUGGGCGAAAGCCUGAUCCAGCCAUGCCGCGUGAGUGAAGAAGGCCUUCGGGUUGUAAAGCUCUUUUAGUCGGAAAGAAAGAGUUGCAAUGAAUAAUUGUGAUUUAUGACGGUACCGACAGAAAAAGCACCGGCUAACUACGUGCCAGCAGCCGCGGUAAUACGUAGGGUGCGAGCGUUAAUCGGAAUUACUGGGCGUAAAGGGUGCGCAGGCGGUCUUGCAAGUCAGAUGUGAAAGCCCCGGGCUUAACCUGGGAAUUGCGUUUGAAACUACAAGGCUAGAGUGCAGCAGAGGGGAGUGGAAUCCCAUGUGUAGCAGUGAAAUGCGUAGAGAUGUGGAAGAACACCGAUGGCGAAGGCAGCUCCCUGGGUUGACACUGACGCUCAUGCACGAAAGCGUGGGGAGCAAACA
rnacentral:rRNA from 1 species